UACGUAGGGGGGCAAGCGUUAUCCGGAUUUACUGGGUGUAAAGGGAGCGUAGACGGUGACGUAAGUCAGAUGUGAAAGCCCGGGGCUCAACCCCGGGACUGCAUUUGAAACUAUGUUGCUAGAGUGCAGGAGAGGUAAGUGGAAUUCCUAGUGUAGCGGUGAAAUGCGUAGAUAUUAGGAGGAACACCAGUGGCGAAGGCGGCUUACUGGACUGUAACUGACGUUGAGGCUCGAAAGCGUGGGGAGCAAACAGGAUUAGAUACCCAGUAGU
rnacentral:rRNA from 1 species